GUGCUCACUCCCACAGCACAUAUCCUAAAAUUGGAAUGAUACAGAGAACAUGAGCAUGGACUCAGCACAAGAAAGACCUGUAAAUCCAGAAAGCAUUCCAUAUUUUU
ensembl:snRNA U6 U6 spliceosomal RNA